GCCACCCUGAGGUCCGCGGCCCUCACCGUGCUCCGAAGCCCCGUCCUGCGGCGGUAGCUCCUCGUCCGACUUGAGCUCCUGUCCACUUCGCGGGGUCCUCCGGCGACCUGCCAGGCUCGGAGGCUCGCGGCCGGAGCGGAGUGCGCACCGUGGGGUGGCGGGACUUCGGCAAGAGCAACUUUCCGGCUCCGUGGCCCCAGUGCCUACUGUCCAGGCCUACGGAGUGGGCAACGAAUGCGACUCAAAGUUCCAAGUCCAUGAAAGUCCAGCGAGCCUGCCGCGUGUUGUCGGGAUUUCGGGGAUAACGUGGGGGCCAGCAUCCCAACUUAUCUGACUCUCCGGGCUCUUGGAAAGCUGUCUUUCGGUUCUAGGCUUGGGUUUUCCCACACUGCAUUCUCCCGCCCCGCAUCUAAGCCUAAGUUCCACGAAGCAACAGCUUUAGGCUCCGGGAAGAGCGCAAGAGAAUUGUGCUGAGGAAGAACGCGCACAGGUUGGAGUCGCCUCCAAACAGCCCCAAGAGCCACUUACGAAAAAAAAAAUAAUUCCUUAAGGGAGAAUCAAAAGCGGGUUCCCACAAAGUCUGAAGUCUUUCAAGGAAGAUGGAUCCCACUGGAUCCCAAAACCGCCUGGUCCC